rnacentral:rRNA from 1 species
CCUACGGGUGGCAGCAGUGAGGAAUAUUGGUCAAUGGACGAGAGUCUGAACCAGCCAAGUAGCGUGAAGGAUGACUGCCCUAUGGGUUGUAAACUUCUUUUAUAAAGGAAUAAAACGGGGCACGUGACCCUUUUUGCAUUUACUUUAUGAAUACGGAUCGGCUAACUCCGUGACAGCAGCCGCGGUAAUACGGAGGAUCCGAGCGUUGGCCGGAUUUAUUGGGUUUAAAGGGUGCGUAGGCGGCCUUUUAAGUCAGCGGUGAAAGUCUGUGGCUCAACCAGAGAAUUGCCGUUGAAACUGGGAGGCUUGAGUGUGUAUGAGGCAGGCGGAAUGCGUGGUGUAGCGGUGAAAUGCUUAGAUAUCACGCAGAACCCCGAUUGCGAAGGCAGCCUGCCAAGCCAUGACUGACGCUGAUGCACGAAAGCGUGGGGAUCAAACAGGAUUAGAUACCCUUGUAGUC